CUCCCGAUGAUAGUGAAUUAUAUCAAGCUGGUGCUAAAAGAAGGACUCUUAACCCCUCUAUUCCUCAUAAGGAGAGCUUGGAAUCAGAAGAUUUUUCUGCAAAGAGGAAUAAGGGUUGCUUCUCACUCCCUUUUGGUCUGUGCUGGCGUGGACGGAGGGUGACCAAGGCCUGUCCGAUCAAAGGUGGCCGGUGAGCCUCUUGGUCUGUGCAGCGAACGGACAUCAAAUAUAUUACAUUAGAUGAUGGGGGAAACUGUACUUGCAGUGCUUCAGUUCUGCAACAAUGGACUCCCCGAAGUGCCAACACCUUUACAUGGAUAUUCAGGAUAUUUUUGAAGGGACAUUACCUUCCUGAAACGGGAGGUCUAUGUCUUCUGAAGAGCAAAUUGUCAGAACAAUCUUAAGAAGGCCAAACAAUUGGACCAGGAAACAAAAUCAUAGAUAUGGUAUGCUUGGUCCAGACUACAACCGUUUGUUGUCUUGCUUCGGACAGUCUUUCAUUGUGCUAUAUUUGUGAAAAGGUAAAGACAUAUGAGAAGCAAAGGGGAUAAAAUGAAUCCACAUAUAGGUAUUUUUUGAACUGAUAUGGAGGGACUACUUCGGAUUUCUUUUCAGCAAAAUAUGGGAACUCCAUUUUCUUGCAAGGUUAUCCACGAGGUGUCUCAAGGUGAACUCCAUGGUACCCGAUCAAGUGGCUGGAGGGAAUGGUGUAUGCUCACAAGGUGCAUGAUUUAGCUGUGCUUCUAACUAUAUGUGUGCUCAUGGCCUCAUGGGUUCUGAUAUUAGCUGUGCUGGCUAUAUUUGGUUUUUUAUAGACCAAUUUGUUUCACCUGGACAAGAAUCCCACGAACCCAUGCCAAAUUGUUUGUAAACCAUGGAUGAGACUUCAUUGUCUGCAAAACAUGGGCUAGACUUAUUUUGGCAUAGGCAGUGCAGAAAUUCACAUGAUAUGCACUGUACUAUUGCUUGUUCUUCAGCCAAUCAUCAAUAUAGUUCCUUUUUUUAUGUGUCUCUGUAUUGAACUCAUAUGUUUUGCCAGUAUAUAGAGAUAAUAAUAUGCAGAUUUAGUGAUCUAUACAUGCAGAAAGUUUGUUUGUUCUCUUUUAGUAAUCAUAUGCGGAUCAUCAAUAUUCAAUAUCAGAUGACACAUUGGCCACAACAUUCAGUAAAUGUGUUAAUCCUAAUAAAUCAAGAACGGUUGCUGAUUCUAGAUAUUGAUAGAAUGCUAAUAAAUUACACCCUAGAGCAAUAUGAGAGUAUUUAAAUUUUGAUGGACCUAAACCUAUCAGGCACAGUACAAAAGCUCUUUUAAAAUAUCGACAUUUAUCCAGUUUGCAUUUUUUUUGUACUGGAGUUAAACCGUUCCAGUUCGUGAAUCUGAAGUCGGCUUCAGUAUAUAUCAAUUGGAAGUCGGCUUGUAUGGCUCUGCCUGUAUAUCUACAUUUUGCAAACGCAUUUUAUGCCUGACAUUUGUCUCUCUUUAUUUAUGAAGAACUAUUCUAGAGCUCAAGCCAUCAGGUACGCUUUAGAUACAAACUCGCUCUCAACGUAGUUUCCAUGUAGUGUUAAAUUCCGGUGAACUAUAUCUCACCCCAUGCAUGCUGCCUACCCCUUUGUUGCAGACACAAAGUUGCAUGAGACCAGAUCGAUUAGGUAUACUUUGUUACUGACUGAUUGGUUCGUGGAUUAAGCAUGGACUGUAGUAAAUUGGGAGUUGUAGGAGGAAAGGAGAAUAGAAGAGAAGAAAGAGGACUUAUUUCAUUGGAUUCGCGGUUGUUUGAUUCCUUUUUGCUGCAAGGAUAGAUCUCCGUUGACCACAUAUUCAGUACUAGGUCAAAAGCUUAUUUUAAAUUCUAGGAAUAAAUGGGUUCAUAAUUUGGUUGUGGCACCCACAUGAAAGCUGUAGAGUUCAUCGAUAUCUUUCCAAGGAUACUAAGUUUCUGCAAUUCAGCAUAAUGAUUGUCAAGAUAUCACCAAAACAUAUUUCUAUGUUCGGGGAUUUUUAAUACUAGAAUAUUUUCUGUUUUACAAGAAUUACUCUACUUACAGGAAGAACCAGUUUUUGGCCACCACAUGAACUUGCAAAUGAUCUCCUUCUGAUAUUCAUAAUAUUCUCAUUUGCUUGAUUUUGUGAAGUGCAUUAAGAUUUACAGUAUAGAGCAGAUAUGUUCAGAAUGGUUUCAAUGUUAAGUGAAAGAUAGGAAGACAUGAUUUCAGUAUCUUGAUGAGGGCCAGAUUUAACAUGCUGAUGAAUAACGUCUUUUAUAUUGCUGGGACAUGUUUUUGGCCUCGCAUUACUUGACUCUGCAGCUGGUUUGUAGAGCAUCUUCUCUUCUUCUUUUAGGUUCUUCGGAGGAGCGACACUGCCUGUGGGUCGUGGACAAAGCGGCUGCUACUUCCAGGAUAACAGGGACAAUGUUGUUGCCAUACCGGCAGGUGCUGGACAUGAUUCUCAAAGAAGAUACAGAUGUGCAUGCUUCAUAUCUUCUACACGCUUAUGCAAAGCGGGAUUUUAUUCAUAUUUUGAUUAGCUUAAUUUCUUAUGCUAAUGUUUGCUUCUGCCUGAAGGAUACAUAUGGCAUGUUUUGUGAGCGGUGGGUAUGGAUGAGUAAUGCCCUGCUACUCCUUGGGGGGCGUGAGUGAAGAUUUAUGCCUUGAGCAUAGGAAUGAGGGAGUAGGUCUCCAAACAGAAUAGGCGAUGAUGCUAGGAGAAAAAGAAGACUUUGAUCUGGUUCUUCAAAGAGGUACAUCGAGGAACAAGUACAUGGUGCUACUCGAUGGUCAGCCAGAUUCUGACUAUUAUUUUGGGAUGCCAAAGAGAUAGCACAUGAUGUUCGACCGCUGGGGAAUUGAAGUAUAGUGCUUACCAAUAUACUGGCAUGUAUUUUUUUUCUAAAGGAUAUAGUGGUUUCCUUUAGUUGAAAUACAUAAAAUUUUCACCCCCAAUGAUUCAACAAGAGUUGUUCAUUAAAAGCGUGUGGUCUCUUUCUUCAUCAAGAAU